rnacentral:rRNA from 1 species
CAGCAGUGGGGAAUAUUGCACAAUGGGCGCAAGCCUGAUGCAGCCAUGCCGCGUGUAUGAAGAAGGCCUUCGGGUUGUAAAGUACUUUCAGUCGUGAGGAAGGUUCAUACGUUAAUAGCGUAUGGAUUUGACGUUAGCGACAGAAGAAGCACCGGCUAACUCCGUGCCAGCAGCCGCGGUAAUACGGAGGGUGCGAGCGUUAAUCGGAAUUACUGGGCGUAAAGCGCAUGCAGGUGGUUAGUUAAGUCAGAUGUGAAAGCCCCGGGGCUCAACCUCGGAAUUGCAUUUGAAACUGGCUGACUAGAGUACUGUAGAGGGGGUAGAAUUUCAGGUGUAGCGGUGAAAAUGCGUAGAGAUCUGAAGGAAUACCGGUGGCGAAGGCGGCCCCCCUGGACAGAUACUGACACUCAGAUGCGAAAGCGUGGGGAGCAAACAGGAUUAGAUACCCUGGUAG